GCUGCCUACCUUGAGUGGUUCUGGGGUGGCAGCGGCGCACGGCUCAGACAGGCUCCCUGCCUGCCCUAGCCCCGCACCACUCCUGGAAGUGGCCGGCACCACGUCCCUGUGGCCCCUGGAGGAUGGAGCGGCGGGCAGAGGGCUCUGUGCACUGCCCUUCUCUGUGGGUACCUCCCUUGAAGCUCCCAUUGCCAAUUCCCAUUCCCGGCCAAUGGGAGCUGUGGGGGGCAGUGCCUGCAGGUGAGGGCAGCGCGUGGAGUGCUUCCCCCCCCCCCACACACACACAUUGCCCAGGGCUGCAGGGACAUGGUGCCGGCUGCUCCUGGGAGUGGCGCAGGGCUGACAAUCACACGGGCCAGAUCCAGCCCGCGGGCCGUAGUUUGUCCACCCCAGAAUUAGACAUUCUUGCUAUUGCCUUGUGCCACAACCCUCUGUUUAUUUGUGCUGGAAGGGUGAUUAAGUGACUUCCCAGACACUGCCCCCCCCCAUGUGCCUUCUUUGUUUUCCUGCCCAUGUGUAGGGAAGCCUUUGUUUGCAGCUGUAGUUAAAGGGGGUUUUAUUAAUUAUCACUGAGAUGUAUUUGUGGGUGAGGAAGAUGGACCUUGAGCCAAGAGCCCUGGAUUUGGAUCCUAGCUCACCACUUGACUAUCUGUUUCUCUAAUCGGCUAAAUUGUAAAUAUUCACAGUAGAACAGUCCAAACUGUGAACAUUUACAAUUUGGCCCACUAGAGAGUUUGGAUCCAGGGCUUUUGCUAGACUUCUUGUGUAGCCCGACAGUUCAGACCUGGAAUCUUGGCAUAUUUGAGUUGGGUGGCCUCAAAAAUACAUUCCAAGGGAAGAGCAACUCUUUAAAUGGGCAGAAGGAGGGAACAGAUAGGGGUGACUGAUUAAGUAGGUGGCCUGGCAGCAUAGAAUCAUAGACUAUCAGGGUUGGAAGGGACCUCAGGAGGUAUCUAGUCCCACCCCCCUGCUCAAAGCAGGACCAACCCCAACUAAAUCAUCCCAGCCAGGGCUUUGUCAAGCCUGACCUUAAAACCUUCUAAAGAAGGAGAUUCCACCACAUCCCUAGGGAACCCAUUCCAGUGCAAACUUGCUGCCUCUCUGUUGAAGCACUAUUAAGCUCUGACCACGUGCGGGCAGAGUCUGUGGGUGACUCAUACCUCUGGGGGUCUUGAUCAAAACUCAUCUUUCAGGUGGAAGCAGUUUGGGGGUUUUCUUUCUGUAAUCAGGAGGAGAAGUUCUGGCGAUUGUUGAAGUGGAUCGGAAUGUCCAAGUGCCUGGUCCAUUGCUUGCAGAUAUUUAUUUAUGCAGUUCUUUCUGUUUCUGUCUAAUAAUCCCCUAAUCAGUCGAUAAAAUCAAGCCAGCCCAUCUGGCUUUUGGAGAGUGUGUGUGUGUGUGUGUGUGUGUGUGUGAGAGAGAGAGAGAGAGAGAGAGACAAGGCCCUGGAUCUCUGCUUUCACCUGUUGGUAGGUGCAGGACGCCUGGUGCAGACCCCUGACCUUCUCUCUGCCUAGCAACAAGAGUCGGUCCAGCUCCUGUUAUGGUCCAAGAUGAGAUGGGGCCGGUUACAAAACCUGGACUGGAUCUGGGGUUGGAAGGGAUUGGAUGCAGGAGAGUAGAGACCCUCCCCACAGUUUAGGUAUCCCACUAUCACAUCUUUUUUCCAUUGACAACAGCGCCUGAUAGUGUCAUGGAAACCCCCACCCACUCCUCUUUAUUCUGGGGGCUGCCAUGUCGACCCUUUGAUGGACCUGAUCUUUCUUCUCUUUUACACCAAUGGACUCCAUGGCCUUGAGUGGGGUUACUGCUGAUCUGCAUCGAUGUAAGUACAAGAAAAUCAGGCCCAGAGUCUCUCCAAGAUGGUCACACCACAACUAGGUGCUCCCUGCUCCCCAUCAAGGGCUUGGUGAAGAGCUUGCUCCAGAGCUGCACCCAUGUAGGUGCCUGGGUCGCCCAGCAGGAGGCAGUGACACUAGGGUCCACUGUCAUGCUUGCAUCCUAUGGAGACAAGCUUUCCAGUGAAGAAGAAACCCUAGGCUGCUCUCUUCCCUCACUCCCAUCCUGGGGUUUGCUGGGAGUCUGCCCUACUUGGUCCCAAGGCUGGGAUGUGGGUUAUCACUCUGUGACACGGGGCUGUGUGUUCUCACUGAGCUGACCAUUGCAAGCCAGGCCAGCGCCCCUCGAACCUCUGCCUGAUCUUAUCUGCUCUGCCUUUGCAUGUCAUCGUGCAGCCAGGAGGCCCUAUGUAAAGGGGGAGAGCUCGGUGUUUGAUGCUGGGUGCUGCCGCUGCCUCUCUUGGGCUGGACAUGGCUUCCUGGAGCCAGCUCACUGGGCUGCCCCUAGAAUCAUGGAUACUCCCAGAGGAUUGCUUGGGUCCUGGUUGUCAUAGCGAUGCCUGAGCUCAGCUUCUGGGGCAGACUGGACAUUCUUAGCUGUGACUGCUCCCUAGUCCUGCUUGUCUGCAGAGCUCAGCUUUGCGGGCCUGUGUAUGGCCCUGAGGGUUUGCUUUGGUGGGGUUGAUCAUGCAAGUGCCCUGGGAUGGGGCCGUCACUCCAGGAUGAGCCGGCAGAACAAGGCAGUGAGGGAGAAGCUGGGCCCACCUUGGACAGACUGCACAGAUACAGACUAACACGGCUGCUACUCUGAAGUCUGGAGAGAGGGACCCAGGUGACAUGGACAGAGCAGGUGGAGGUGGCAAACUGCCAGUCAUCAUCUGCUAUGAAAUGGGAAGAGACUGUGACAACAGCUCCAGCUCUCAACUAACAUCUUGGCUUUGCUUCAAGGAGGACAGUUAUUGCCGUCUAAGAGACGGUCAGACAAUGGGGUAUUUCCUGCUAAAGUCUCUUUCCAGCUGAAGGGAACAAGGGAUGUUGUUAAAAUAAAAG